rnacentral:tRNA from 1 species
GGUAUAGCUCAGUGGUAGAGUGCUUGCCCAGUAUGCAAGAGGUCCUAGGUUCCAUCCCUAGCACC